ACUUCGUGUCGGGAAGUACAUAAAUCAAUACAUCAUGAGUAAAUCCUUCCUCGAAUAAAAAAGCAUUACAACACAAACCUCAUCAAUAUCCGAAACCUGACCAACCUUCACUAAUUGACAGAGCGCUACUAUCGAUUCAUGUAACACUAAAACUUCCCGAAAACUUCUUCAUUUCACAACGUGUACAUAAAUAAAAUAUGCUCGAAACGUGUAAUCGCAUUAUCAUUAGCCCUGAAACUCCCCAUCCUUCUUCGGGUUCAAUGAAUUUUCAUAAAUAAUUCGCCAACCUUUUAGAUCCUUUCCGGUGAACUUGUACGACCUUCGUAUUUAUCAGCGAGAAGGGAACGACUGCCGCGGGUCAAUCAAAACGAAACUUCCAAUACAUCACAAGCACAUAGGAUACAGUAUUCGGCAGGAUACCGGGAGCUCUGGAACCAAUACAAGAAUCUGCGUAAUUUCCGUGCGUACCACAUUUUUGUUCAAAUACAAAUUUCCCUGCCAAUAAAUUCCAUUCUUUGUACACGUUCGAUUUCCACGCUCCGUAGCCGUCAAGGAUGAUCUGGUGCCUUCCUUGUUUGUGUUUUAUGGACGCGACGAGGAGCGAGAGAGGUUGGCCUGUCAAUCAAUUUCAAUUUUUCGAAUUUCAAUUUUUAAUCAAAUUUUUGACAGACUAUAAAAAAAUUUAACGCCACUUUAGCAAUUCGGUGGUGGUAGAGGGUGAACAAGAUUGUAUUUUAUCGCAGCCACGGAAAAAGAAAACAGAACCGUCUUUAAUGCAAUUUGGUUGCGGUGUUCCCUGUUUCGAUUGGGCAAAUCAAAUUUUCAGUUGCUGUUCCUGUAUCGAGGACGACUUGCUAAUUAAGGAUGAUGUUAAAAUCCACUUUGUUUCCAUGUCUCCAUUGAAGCUUGGCAAAAUAGUAGCAUUUUUAAGAAAUAUAUUUUCGCGGUAAGCUGAUGCACUGAAUCUCUAUCAACCGUACGUCAUUCACCCGAUACUUUUUGGCAAGAAGUUUCGUAGAAGUGCUCUAGACUUAUCAAGGACCAAGGUUGCAAUGAGUAAUAAACGCAAGACAUCGAUACUGGAGGACGGAAGCCCUGCCCGAGAAAUCUGUAGAGGCAGCAUCUACAGUAACACACGACAAGGUGGGUCCUGCCUUCGGUAAGCAGCGAUGGCGAAUGGUAGAAAGCCAAAACGUUGCUGAGAAUAAUGAACUAAAUGAUCUUUCAAAGAGAGCAGGUCCACACCCGACACCGAUGCCACUGAUGAUGGUAAUAUCUCAAAUUACGAGCAGAAAGACUGAUAGCUAGGUGUGCCAAAUUUGGAUUAUAAAGUGAAUGAGAGACCG